UCCUUUUAUUGUGGAUGAACACCACGUACAUGCCGUAAAUGCUCCCUAGGCUGGCUGCGGCUACAAGGCAGACCCGGGAGCUGAGAAUAGAGGAAUACCUGCCCAAGCAACUCAUUCUGCACAGCCGCCGACAAGACAGCGAUUUUCCUGUGCUGGAAUGUGCCCAUCCAAAGACACUUGGAUUGGACUUAAUCUUAAACCUCUGGAGUUCAAGACCUUUUAAAAGGGCUAAAUAAACAAUCUCUACAUGUAAAAGGCCACUGACUCCUACUUCCUCUGUAUAGAGCAACUGUUGAACUCAGCUGCCUGUAGGUGCAUUUCCUGUCCAUUUCAGAAGCUAAUUAUGAAAUGGCCACACAACUGGAUGUUUCUGUUUAUAAAAUAGUGUUCCUUGGAGGGGCUUGCAACAUCUAAAUAUCUUAUGUCAGAAUAAAAGCCACUGAGAUCCGAAGAAGUGGACUAAACUUGACAAUAUCUGAAAGUCUUCUGCUGGACCAGGAACCCCUACAGUGGACAGUGUGCUUCCUGCUUUUCCACGCAGUUCGACAAGAAAACCAUCCCAAAGUGAACAAAAAUGGAAGCCUGCGAAGUUCA
rnacentral:sRNA from 1 species